rnacentral:rRNA from 1 species
UACGUAGGGGGCAAGCGUUAUCCGGAAUUACUGGGUGUAAAGGGUGCGUAGGUGGUAUGGCAAGUCAGAAGUGAAAACCCAGGGCUUAACUCUGGGACUGCUUUUGAAACUGUCAGACUGGAGUGUAGGAGAGGUAAGCGGAAUUCCUAGUGUAGCGGUGAAAUGCGUAGAUAUUAGGAGGAACAUCAGUGGCGAAGGCGGCUUACUGGACUGAAACUGACACUGAGGCACGAAAGCGUGGGGAGCAAACAGG